rnacentral:misc_RNA from 1 species
GAUGAAGAACGUAGCGAAAUGCGAUAAGUAAUGUGAAUUGCAGAAUUCAGUGAAUCAUCGAAUCUUUGAACGCACAUUGCGCCCGCCAGUAUUCUGGCGGGCAUGCCUGUUCGAGCGUCAUUUCAACCCUCAGGCCCCCAGUGCCUGGUGUUGGGGAUCGGCCCAGCCUUCCUGUAAGGCCGCCGGCCCCGAAAUCUAGUGGCGGUCUCGCUGUAGUCCUCCUCUGCGUAGUAGCACAACCUCGCAGUUGGAACGCGGCGGUGGCCAUGCCGUUAAACACCCCACUUCUGAAAGUUGACCUCGGAUCAGGUAGGAAUACCCGCUGAACUUAAGCAUACCAAUAAGCGGAGGC